rnacentral:rRNA from 1 species
UUAAGUGAAUAAGGGCGCACGGUGGAUGCCUUGGCACUAGGAGCCGAUGAAGGACGGGACUAACACCGAUAUGCUUUGGGGAGCUGUAAGUAAGCUAUGAUCCAGAGAUUUCCGAAUGGGGGAACCCAAUAUCUUUUAUAGGAUAUUACUUUUCAGUGAAUACAUAGCUGAUUAGAGGUAGACGCAGAGAACUGAAACAUCUUAGUACCUGCAGGAAGAGAAAGAAAAUUCGAUUCCCUGAGUAGCGGCGAGCGAAACGGGAAGAGCCCAAACCAACAAGCUUGCUUGUUGGGGUUGUAGGACUCCAAUAUGGUAGUCUGUUAGUAUAGUUGAAGGAUUUGGAAAAUUCCGCUAAAGAGGGUGAAAGCCCCGUAGACGAAAUGCUGACAACACCUAGGAGGAUCCUGAGUACGGCGGAACACGAGAAAUUCCGUCGGAAUCCGCGGGGACCAUCCCGCAAGGCUAAAUACUCCCUAGUGACCGAUAGUGAACCAGUACCGUGAGGGAAAGGUGAAAAGCACCCCGGAAGGGGAGUGAAAUAGAUCCUGAAACCGUGUGCCUACAACAAGUCAAAGCUCGUUAAUGAGUGAUGGCGUGCCUUUUGUAGAAUGAACCGGCGAGUUACGAUUGCAUGCGAGGUUAAGUCGAAGAGACGGAGCCGCAGCGAAAGCGAGUCUGAAUAGGGCGAAUGAGUAUGUAGUCGUAGACCCGAAACCAUGUGAUCUACCCAUGUCCAGGUUGAAGGUGCGGUAAAACGCACUGGAGGACCGAACCCACGUACGUUGAAAAGUGCGGGGAUGAGGUGUGGGUAGCGGAGAAAUUCCAAACGAACUUGGAGAUAGCUGGUUCUCUCCGAAAUAGCUUUAGGGCUAGCCUCGGAAUUGAGAAUGAUGGAGGUAGAGCACUGUUUGGACUAGGGGCCCAUCUCGGGUUACCGAAUUCAGAUAAACUCCGAAUGCCAUUCAUUUAUAUCCGGGAGUCAGACUGCGAGUGAUAAGAUCCGUAGUCGAAAGGGAAACAGCCCAGACCACCAGCUAAGGUCCCAAAAUAUAUGUUAAGUGGAAAAGGAUGUGGGGUUGCACAGACAACUAGGAUGUUGGCUUAGAAGCAGCCACCAUUUAAAGAGUGCGUAAUAGCUCACUAGUCGAGUGACCCUGCGCCGAAAAUGUACCGGGGCUAAACAUAUUACCGAAGCUGUGGACUACACCAUUAGGUGUAGUGGUAGGAGAGCGUUCUAAGGGCGUUGAAGGUCGAUCGUGAGGACGGCUGGAGCGCUUAGAAGUGAGAAUGCCGGUAUGAGUAGCGAAAGACAGGUGAGAAUCCUGUCCACCGUAUGACUAAGGUUUCCUGGGGAAGGCUCGUCCGCCCAGGGUUAGUCGGGACCUAAGCCGAGGCCGAUAGGCGUAGGCGAUGGACAACAGGUUGAUAUUCCUGUACCAGUUGUUUUUGUUUGAGCAAUGGAGGGACGCAGUAGGCUAAGGAAUGCAUGCGAUUGGAAGUGCAUGUCCAAGCAAUGAGUCUUGAGUAGAGUUAAAUGCUUUACUCUUUAAGGACAAGUUGUGAUGGGGAGCGAAAUAAUAGUAGCGAAGUUCCUGAUGUCACACUGCCAAGAAAAGCUUCUAGUGAGAAAACAACUGCCCGUACCGUAAACCGACACAGGUAGUCGAGGAGAGUAUCCUAAGGUGAGCGAGCGAACUCUCGUUAAGGAACUCGGCAAAAUGACCCCGUAACUUCGGGAGAAGGGGUGCUGACUUCGGUCAGCCGCAGUGAAUAGGCCCAAGCGACUGUUUAUCAAAAACACAGGUCUCUGCAAAAUCGUAAGAUGAAGUAUAGGGGCUGACGCCUGCCCGGUGCUGGAAGGUUAAGAGGAUGGGUUAGCUUCGGCGAAGCUCAGAAUUGAAGCCCCAGUAAACGGCGGCCGUAACUAUAACGGUCCUAAGGUAGCGAAAUUCCUUGUCGGGUAAGUUCCGACCCGCACGAAAGGCGUAACGAUUUGGGCACUGUCUCAACGAGAGACUCGGUGAAAUUUUAGUACCUGUGAAGAUGCAGGUUACCCGCGACAGGACGGAAAGACCCCAUGGAGCUUUACUGUAGUUUGAUAUUGAGUGUUUGUACCACAUGUACAGGAUAGGUAGGAGCCGAUGAGACCGGAACGCUAGUUUCGGAGGAGGCGCUGGUGGGAUACUACCCUUGUGUUAUGAACCCUCUAACCCGCACCACUAAUCGUGGUGGGAGACAGUGUCAGAUGGGCAGUUUGACUGGGGCGGUCGCCUCCUAAAAGGUAACGGAGGCGCCCAAAGGUUCCC